AUUUUUUUUUUCUUCUUGUGGUGGCAGGAAUUGAACCCACCGAGCCACAUUCCCAGCUACUUUUAAAUCUUUUUACUUUGAGACAGAAUCUUGCUGAGUUGCCCAGGCUGGCUUCAAACUUGCCAUCUUCCUGCCUCAGCUCUGUAUCGCAGGCCUUUAAACAUGCAAAUCACCGCCACACUCUAGCUGAGCACGGCCCCUGCCCCCUGCCUCCCGUCCUCCAUGCUGCGUCCCCUUUGCACAGCCCACGACCCUUGGGUCACAGCGCUGCCCCACCUCAUCUCAGAGAGCCCUGGGGACUCUAUCACCCUCGGGACUCUAUCGCCCUCCCUGCCUCUCCCCUCCUGGUCCCCCGUGUGUCCUUCCAGCCCUUGCUACUUGGCAACACAAUAUCUUACUUUCUUCUUCAUAGUUUCUCUUCCUGGCUGGUGACUUGCUCACCAGUCCCUGCACCCAGAGCCCGCUGUACCAAGCCUGCUCCCUGAGGGGUCAGUGUUGUCAAGCCCGGGUCAGCCCUGGGGUACAAGGCAAGUGUGAGGCUGACCCAGACUCCUGACCCUAAACUCUGCUGUCUCCUCUUCCCCUACCACUCUCUCCCCAAACCCCCAGGCCCUGGUCUGGGAUGAUUAUUACAGAAUUUAUUUUUCUACACUGGGCACUGAACCCAUGGUCUUUGCACUGAGCUACAUCCCAGCCCUUUUUAUUUUUUAUUUUGAGACGGGGUCUCACUAAGUCCCUAAGUUGUCCAGGCUGAGGCAGGAGGAUCGAAAGUUUGUACCCAGCUGGGAACUUUGGCACUUAGGAAGACCCUGCCUCAAAGUUGAACCCAGGUAGGACCUUGUGCAUGCUAAGCAUGCUGCACCCCAGCCCCAACUCUGUUUUGUUUUUAAACUGGAACCACUGAGUGGACCUGCAGUGAUG
rnacentral:lncRNA from 1 species